rnacentral:rRNA from 1 species
AGCAUAUCCAAUAAGCGGAGGGAAAAAGAAACCAACAGGGAUUGCCUUAGUAACGGCGAGUGAAGCGGCAACAGCUCAAAUUUGAAAUCUGGCUCCUUCGGGGCCCGAGUUGUAAUUUGCAGAGGAUGCUUCGGGUUUGGGUUCCUUCCGAGUUCCCUGGAACGGGACGCCAUAGAGGGUGAGAGCCCCGUCUGGUAGGAAACCCAGCCCAUGUGAAGCUCCCUCGACGAGUCGAGUAGUUUGGGAAUGCUGCUCUAAGGGGAGGUAUACUCCUUCCAAGGCUAAAUACCGGCUAGAGACCGAUAGCGCACAAGUAGAGUGAUCGAAAGAUGAAAAGUACUUUGAAAAGAGAGUCAAACAGCACGUGAAAUUGUUAAAAGGGAAGCGCUCGCUACCAGACGUGGGUUCGGUGGUUCAACCAGGUCCAUGACCUGGGGCACUCCGCCGGCCCAGGCCAGCAUCAGCUUUCCGUCGGGGGCAAAGGCGUCGGGAAUGUGGCUCCCCUUCGGGGGAGUGUUAUAGCCCGUCGCGUCAUACCCUUCGGGGGGCUGAGGUACGCGCUCCGCAAGGAUGCUGGCGUAAUGGUAGCUAGUGACCCGUCUUGAAACACGGACCAAGGAGUCAACCUUAUGUGCGAGUGCCCGGGCGUAAAACCCCAGCGCGGAAUGAAAGUGAACGUAGGUGAGAGCUUCGGCGCAUCACCGACCGAUCCUGAUGUCCUCGGACGGAUUUGAGUGAGAGCAUAUAGGGUUGGACCCGAAAGAAGAUGAACUAUGCGUGUGUAGGGUGAAGCCAGAGGAAACUCUGGUGGAGGCUCGCAGCGGUUCUGACGUGCAAAUCGAUCGUCAAACAUGCGCAUGGGGGGCGAAAGACUAAUCGAAUCUUUCUGGGUAGCUGGUUUCCGCCGAAG